rnacentral:rRNA from 1 species
UACGUAGGGUGCGAGCGUUGUCCGGAAUUAUUGGGCGUAAAGAGCUUGUAGGCGGUUUGUCGCGUCUGCUGUGAAAAUCCGGGACUCAACCCCGGACCUGCAGUGGGUACGGGCAGACUAGAGUGUGGUAGGGGAGACUGGAAUUCCUGGUGUAGCGGUGAAAUGCGCAGAGUAUCAGGAGGAACACCGAUGGCGAAGGCAGGUCUCUGGGCCACUACUGACACUGGAGAAGCGGAAAGCAUGGGGAGCGAACAGG